UGUGCUUUAGAUUUUUAGUAAGCAAGAAAGAGAUGAAAAAUGGAAGGUAUUUUGCUGAGACCGGCUAAUUUUAAAUCUGGGCUCUUGCUUGUGAUCCAGUGUAAUUUAUGUAAAUGAUCUGUCUGUAACUGAAGAUGUAUGGGGAUAAAUUUCAGAUUAUCUGUGAGGGUUUAAGGAGGGUUUUAGGUGACUCAAAAAUGAUAAACUAACUUGACUGGGGAGUACAAUUCAAAUGAGUAUAUGAUCCAAUAUGCUGUAAUGUAGCGUGGUUCUUGGACCAUAGGAGCUGUCUGCUAGCUGUUUUUCUUUUAAAUCGCCUGAAGCAUACAUAUUUUAUGAAACUGGUGAUGCCUGAAUUGAUCAGUGUACUCUUGUGGCAGCAUCUGGGGAAUACUUCACCAUUUCUAGUGGUGGGAAGUAACGGAGGAGGGAUUUGGCAGGGCUGAUGGCAGCUCAAGCACCACCCACUGUCUGCACCAAGAGCAGCCAGGCACUGUGCUGAGCAGCCGGCAUUCUCCAUCAGCUGUUCUGCUGUUCCCACCGCAUUGCUCUGUCUAGGCUGGCCGGCUGUAUUUCUAGAUGGGGAAGUUGUUGGCAUUGAUGCCACAGACUGGUCACAAAUCAGGACAGAGAGUCAUCUUGCACACUGUAAUAACGUGAUACAUCUGAGGCCGUGGUAGUCAGCUUGAAAAAAAGACAUUGAAACACCCCAGUAGGAGGAUUGGUGUCAUUCACAAAAGCUGUAGGUCACUUGAGAUAAAUUCGUUCUGUGUGAUUUUCUGAGCAUUUGAAUUGUUUUCUUAAUUAUGUUAAUUCAUUCAGGACUAUGAAGUUCUUAACUGUUCUGUGUGGAAGGAAAAUGAUCUCUGUUUUUGGCAAAUAUCUAUCAGGUAACAGUGGCAGUGGAGGAGCUUCUUCAGUCAUAAGCUGUUUAUCUUAACCACUUGUGACAGACUAAGCUACACCUGAAUUUAGAGUUAAAGACUCAGAGGAAGGAAGGAAGUGCUUUUUCAUGUCUUAAGCUCUUCCUGAAAGCAGAAAACUGGUUGCAUUUCACUUUUGCAUAAAGUGCUGUUGCUUUUGAUAUGCAAAUGGUGCACUGUACCAUGUAGCCUCGGUUUUCUAGAGACCAAAAGGAAUGGCAGAGAAAAACGUAUGUGGUGUAGGAAUUCAAAUGGUUUCGAAGCAGGGUUCCUUUUCUAUUUCGCAAAUCAAUCCUAAAUGUCAACAAAGCAAAAAGAGAUCAAAUCGGGUUGGACUAUGAGGACAGGGAUUGCCUUGUGUGAUAAGGGACAUUUGAGAAUUUCUGCAUGUGAUGAAUAUAAAAGGCAGCUGAGCUGACUGAAUGUUAAAGCAGCUGUAGUGAGCAGCAAUAGAACAGAGUGGGUUGUAGCUCAGCGACAGCUCAUCGUAGAAUCAUCAUGUUUUCCUCUUAGAGCAUCUCUGAAAAACAAGGAGGAGUUCUUUUUUAUCUUCAUCUAACAAGCAGAUUUUGAGUAAUUAUUUUUCUUGAAAAUGUGCAUUAACAUCUGAGCUAUACAUAUAUAUACAUAUAUACAAAAGCACACAUAUAUAGAGUUGAGUGAUGAGACUUUCUGUCUGUGGUUCAAAAUCUUUUCUCUCUCCCUCACCUCAUUAAAUCACACAGUGUUUCCCCUAGUCAUUUCUCCUUUUCCUUAAGUGUUUCUCUUGUACGGAGGUCAGAUUUGCUCUGCUGGCAUUUCACGAUGCAGAAAUACUUGGUUAGCAAAGCAGACUUGUGCAUGUCUCAGUGCCUUUGACACUCUCCAUUCUUUUUCCCACCCACCCUCACCUUGAGAAGCUGCGGGUGUGCAGCACAGAUGGUGGCAAACGAGGGAGCUGUGCCAAUUGCAGGCGGUUGGAGUCGCCCUGGCUCAGCUGUACCAGGCACAUAAUACUCCAGAGCUUCAAAAUCAGAAGUAAAAUCAUUUGGACAGUUGCCACCUGCCCUCCUAAAUAGGUAAGCAUACUUAAAACAGGAAAAGGGGCCUUGCCCACUUUAUUCCUUUGAGUAGCUGUAAACAUCCCCCCCACCCCUUAAACUAGCAUCUGUCAUUUAGUUGUUUCGAAAUGAUGAACAUAAGGGCCUUGCAAAGAAAAGAAGAAUUACACUUCUUUUCUAAUUUACAGUAAUUAGAAUCAUAUAAUCAUUUAGGUUCAAGAUAAUAAAAUCCACCUAUAAGCCUGACCUACCAAGUCCUGUCACUAAGCUAUGUCCCUUAGUGCCACAUCUACACAUCUCUUGAAUAGUUCCAAGGAUGGAGAUUCCACCACUUCUCCGGGCAGCCUCUUCCAAUGCUUGGCCCUCAUCAUGUUUGUGUAGAAAUUCUUCCUAAUGUACAAUUUAAAACUUCCCUAGUGCAGGUUGGGACUUGUUUUCUUGUGUUCUAUCAUUUAUCGUCUGAGAAAAGAGAUUGACCCCUCUGUUGCAGCCUCCUCCCAGGUUAUUAUACGGAGCAAUGAGGCAUCUGCUCAGCCUCCUCCUCUUCAGAGUAAACAGCCCCAGUUUUCUUGGCUGCUUCUCAUACGUUUUGUUUUCUAGUCCCCUCACCAGCUUUAUCUCUCUUCUCUGAGAGAAGUUCCAGGAACUCUGGGUCUUUCUCGUAGUGAAGGCUCCAAAAGUGAACAUAGUAUUUGAGGUGUAUUCUCACUAGUGCCCAGAGCAGAGGGACAGUUGCUUCCUUAGUUCUUCUGACCAUGUUAUUUGAGUUGCAGGCCAGAAUGCUGUUGGUCAUCUUGGCCUCAGUGCUGGCUCAUGUGCAACUGUCAGCCAGCACGCACAGGUCUUUUUCUGCUGGUAGGCUUUCCAGCCACUGUUCCUCAAUCCUGUCUGGCUGUGUG
ensembl:lncRNA